CACAGCACUGGUGCGAUGAUGUCAUCGGCGCUGGGCCAGAGACGUCAUGAGCGUCCUACUGCCCAACAUGGCGGACUUUGACACCAUUUAUGAGUUAGAAGAAGAAGAUGAGAGAAUUGUGAGUGAAGAACAUCUCGUCAGACACUGUCCCGAGCCCGUGGUCAUGCGUGGGGCUGGUCACAUCACCGUGUUUGGACUAAGCAACAAAUUUGACACAGAGUUUCCUUCUGUUCUCACAGGAAAGGUUGCUCCAGAGGAGUUCAAGACGAGCGUCAAUCGAGUAAACGCUUGCUUGAAGAAGAACCUACCGGUCAAUGUGAAAUGGUUGCUCUGCGGCUGCCUGUGCUGUUGCUGUACGGUGGGCUGCAGUCUGUGGCCUGUCAUAUGUCUCAACAAGAGAACGCGAAGAUCCAUCCAGAAAUUGUUAGAAUGGGAAAACAACAGAUUAUAUCACAAGCUGGGGCUGCACUGGAAGCUCAGCAAGAGAAAAUGUGAGAGCAACAACAUGAUGGAAUAUGGCUAUAAGCUGCUACUUAAAUUACUGCAAAUGCACCACUUUUAUUGAUUGUGCAACAAUAAUUUAAAAGUCAGGGAAACUUCAUGCAUCAUCUCAUUAGAGUAUUCAUCUGAUUUAUCAUGCACAAGUUAUUCUUAUAGAGUUCUUACCAAAAUAUCCUAUAUUCAGACCUGACUAAAGGACUUCUGCUGGAUCCUCGUGGAAGGCCCUUCAUUCCUCUCCUUAGUGCCUUGUAUAUAUGUCGGAUCGAGGGUCUUCACUGGGUUUCUACAAGACCCCUUCUCCCAGUACCUUGUACAGUAGAAUUCGCAACACUGUCACUUUGCUUUAGAGCAGAUUUUGCACAUUACCUGAUGUAGUAGAAGCGCUCCUGUGUUGCACUCAGACGUUUUGUUACAUAUAAUGAGAGAUGGGAAGAAAGCAAACUCUGAUAACUGUUUAAAAAGUGCAUUUACCCCAAAGAGCCAUCAAGUCCUCCCCACAUAAUAUAUUAUGGUGUUGUUAUGAACAAGGCACCUUAUGGUGUGAAUUUGCCUUAUGUUAAAGGACAAACUUUUUUAAAUCGGGCGUGUAAAGUGCAGGAGUCAGAAAUGUGUUGUUUUAAUGUUUUCAGAGUGCGAUGACUAGCGUUGAGGUUUUGAAGCUAGCUUAGAGGACCAGUCAGCAGCGUGAUCUGGCACAUUUGCGAUUGUCUACUACACGGGGAAGUCAACAAACUGACUUGUAAAUAUCAUGGACAGGAUGUACAGUGUGGUAUACCAUGUUUACAUUAUGUAAUUUAGCUGGUUAUUAGUUUUUCGCCAAUAUAUUAUUGUAGCAUUGUUUGUUUAUAAGCCGUGUCUCUGUAACUUUACAGUUUAUAUGGACCUGUUUACCCAGUAAGCCAUAAAAUGUACGUAAAAGAUGCCACUCGAGUUAGGGCUGAAAAUUGCACCUGAGCACAUGAGGGCAAGCUGAUUGUCCUGGAGCUUUUUGAUAUUGUUUAACAAUGUCAGUAGUAGUGUUUAAAAACAAUAAGGUAUGCCAAUCAAGCAGAAUUUGUUACCAAGAGAAAUGUGUCAUUCAGUUUUGCACCAAUGAUAUUUACCCAUUCAAGUUUUUGUUGGAAUAUACUUUGUACCCUGUAUUUUUUUUUUCAGUACAGCUUCAUCUUGGAGUGUGUUUUAAUUGUAUUCAUGGAUGCUGUAUCCUGUGGUUCUACUACUGGGGUAACCACAUACACAAUGUUGUAUAUGUAAUGGUUAAAACGGCCUCUUAUCUGUUUUCUGUAACUGUAUGACAUCUUUGCUCCAUGUGCUGUAGACAUGACUGCAUUAGUCGAGUGCCUCUGUAGAUGGUCUUGAGAGGGAGCUGUGCUGAAGAGGAAUAAUUCUUUGCCUAGCAAUCUAAUGGAGAGAAAGGAAAUCUGCUCUCAGUACUGGUUCUGUUAAAGUACCUGUAAAUGUUUGUCCCUACCUAAUCCUAUGGAAAGCUUCAAUAAAUUCCUGAUUUUGAUCUUUUUGAA